AAAUCGCCGGUCUUCUUACGCUUGAGUCGAUAGGCGGGGCGUUACAGAGUUCAAUCGAAUAGAGGUCACUCAACAGACCACGUCUCCACGUCUGAGCCUCGGAUUAGACAGGCCCCACUGAAGAAAGAUCCCGUGAUAAAGAAGAACCAGGAAAAACGGGAAUCGAUACUAAAAUUUCUUAACUUUAGAACAAAAAUUCGAAAACGAAUGAGGAUAAAAUAAAUCAUUGGAAUGACGCUUACCGGAAAAUCUGAUACAUACAUGCUCAAAUUAACAAUUAUAAUAAUAAUAUGAAAUUUAAUAUAACGAUGAUUAUUUCGAAAUAGUAUAAUGACUAGUAAAUUUUAUGAAAAUGUUUCAAUAAACACAUAUUAUGUGAA